AUUGAACGCUGGCGGCAUGCCUUACACAUGCGAGUCGAACGGCAGCGGACCUUCGGGUGCCGGCGAGUGGCGAACGGGUGAGUAAUAUAUCGGAACGUACCUUUCAGUGGGGGAUAACGUAGCGAAAGUUACGCUAAUACCGCAUAUUCUGUGAGCAGGAAAGCAGGGGAUCGCAAGACCUUGCGCUGAUUGAGCGGCCGAUAUCAGAUUAGCUAGUUGGUGAGGUAAAGGCUCACCAAGGCGACGAUCUGUAGCGGGUCUGAGAGGAUGAUCCGCCACACUGGAACUGAGACACGGUCCAGACUCCUACGGGAGGCAGCAGUGGGGAAUUUUGGACAAUGGGCGCAAGCCUGAUCCAGCCAUGCCGCGUGAGUGAAGAAGGCCUCGGUUG
rnacentral:rRNA from 1 species